ACUCAAGCAAACAGUUUUAAUGUCCUCAGUGAAGAUUGGCAUUCAAAAAAAAUCAGAUGCCUCAGCUUUGAUGGACUGAUCAUAUUUCUUUUUUCUGUGAUUAUCUGCCCUGUUUUUUUAGAUUCUCUCUGAAGGAACAGAUGUUGCCACAAUACACACAGUCUCCCCUCCAUUAACGUUGUUACGACUCCUUAACUUGCAGUGGAAUGCCGCUUCACUUCACCCCCCUCUCUGUUUUUACAUAAUGUUAUGAUCCCAUAUACUCACAUCUGAUUGGCCUCGAUGCGAUUGCUGACCAAUCAAAACAAAGUUCUGCCUUGAGGUAAGCAGCCAAAGGAAAAACAUUUUUGGAGCCGGCUCUCAAUCGAAGCGAACCGGCUCUUCUGAUUCACUACAAAGCAUCGGCUCUCAGAGCCGCAUCUUUUGCGCAUGACCCAUCACUAAUUCAUACUGUACAUCCUCAAAGUUUUAAGAUGCCACGAGGGUCAACAAUAACAACCUGUGUGGGCUGCAAAGCAGCUAUUGGUGUGGCCACCAAGACCUGCAAAUAUUGCCAGUCUGUACAGCCAAGAAAGCAAAGACUGGCAAAAAAACUUAAGAAUUUUGAGGACAGAAAGGAGAAGUGGUUAAAAAACCAAACCAAAAACCAAACCACCUCUCAUGUUAUUGAUGAGGCAUCUGUCUUGGUCGAAAAGUUAAACACAUUGGGGUACAAGGCCAUAGUCUUCAUUGGAAAGAAAACAAAGAAACAGAAAACCUGGUCCGCACAAGUCCUCCAGCCAAAAUGGCAGCUGUCAGACCAUUCUGCAAAAUGCCUGGACAGGAUGAAGGCUCUUUAUGAACUGUUAAUUGACGGUUGUACUAACCAGCAGCCCGCCACCGGUCCUCCUCCCAUCCAGUCCACCACCAGUCCUCCUCCUCCUCCCAUCCAGUCCACCACCAGUCCUCCUCCU